rnacentral:rRNA from 1 species
GACGAACGCUGUCGGCGUGCUUAACACAUGCAAGUCGAACGGAAAGGCCCUGCUUUUGUGGGGUGCUCGAGUGGCGAACGGGUGAGUAACACGUGAGUAACCUGCCCUUGACUUUGGGAUAACUUCAGGAAACUGGGGCUAAUACCGGAUAGGAGCUCCUGCUGCAUGGUGGGGGUUGGAAAGUUUCGGCGGUUGGGGAUGGACUCGCGGCUUAUCAGCUUGUUGGUGGGGUAGUGGCUUACCAAGGCUUUGACGGGUAGCCGGCCUGAGAGGGUGACCGGCCACAUUGGGACUGAGAUACGGCCCAGACUCCUACGGGAGGCAGCAGUGGGGAAUAUUGCACAAUGGGCGGAAGCCUGAUGCAGCAACGCCGCGUGCGGGAUGACGGCCUUCGGGUUGUAAACCGCUUUCGCCUGUGACGAAGCGUGAGUGACGGUAAUGGGUAAAGAAGCACCGGCUAACUACGUGCCAGCAGCCGCGGUGAUACGUAGGGUGCGAGCGUUGUCCGGAUUUAUUGGGCGUAAAGGGCUCGUAGGUGGUUGAUCGCGUCGGAAGUGUAAUCUUGGGGCUUAACCCUGAGCGUGCUUUCGAUACGGGUUGACUUGAGGGAGGUAGGGGAGAAUGGAAUUCCUGGUGGAGCGGUGGAAUGCGCAGAUAUCAGGAGGAACACCAGUGGCGAAGGCGGUUCUCUGGGCCUUUCCUGACGCUGAGGAGCGAAAGCGUGGGGAGCGAACAGGCUUAGAUACCCUGGUAGUCCACGCUGUAAACGGUGGGUACUAGGUGUGGGGUCCAUUCCACGGGUUCCGUGCCGUAGCUAACGCUUUAAGUAUCCCGCCUGGGGAGUACGGCCGCAAGGCUAAAACUCAAAGGAAUUGACGGGGCCCCGCACAAGCGGCGGAGCAUGCGGAUUAAUUCGAUGCAACGCGUAGAACCUUACCUGGGUUUGACAUGGAUCGGGAGUGCUCAGAGAUGGGUGUGCCUCUUUUGGGGUCGGUUCACAGGUGGUGCAUGCCUGUCGUCAGCUCGUGUCGUGAGAUGUUGGGUUAAGUCCCGCAACGAGCGCAACCCUUGUUCACUGUUGCCAGCACGUUAUGGUGGGGACUCAGUGGAGACCGCCGGGGUCAACUCGGAGGAAGGUGGGGAUGACGUCAAGUCAUCAUGCCCCUUAUGUCCAGGGCUUCACGCAUGCUACAAUGGCUGGUACAGAGAGUGGCGAGCCUGUGAGGGUGAGCGAAUCUCGGAAAACCGGUCUCAGUUCGGAUUGGGGUCUGCAACUCGACCUCAUGAAGUCGGAGUCGCUAGUAAUCGCAGAUCAGCAACGCUGCGGUGAAUACGUUCCCGGGGCU